AGCACAAGGUCCUGAGUUCGAUCUCCAGUACCACAAAAAAAAAAAAAAAAAAAAGAGGAGCCAAUCUAUUCAUUCAUGCAAUUGUCAAUCAAGAAGAGCACAAAGCAAAAAAUAAAUUACGGCAAAAUCAGUUUUAUCUGGGAAGAAGUUUGCAACGUGAGAAGCAGACAAUCCCAAUGCGGAAGCAGGUGCCCUGGGAAACUGUUUUAAAGACAGAACCAAGGGGAAUUACGUCAGAUAUUUGGAAACAUUACCCUUUGGCCACAGUGACUAAUAUCCAGGUGACCUCAGGCUGAGGAUGAGCAGACAUCCCUGCGGAUGUGCAUCUGCUGGACCCUGCAGCGGCCUCUGUGCGGGGCGGUGGUUGCGGCAGCAUCUUUUGCGACAGUCACUCCCUUCCCUCUGAACCUUCUGCCCAUGACAGAUAGUUCCGAGUGUCUCCUGUGCCCGACUCAGCAAAGCGCCUUGGAGUCUUAGCUCAUUUUGUCACGCUGGUGACAUAGGGCCUUCCCAAGCCUCGUGUCUGCUGUUUCCCAAGGCAUGAAAGCAUGUGCAAAUACAUCCCCGGUGAGGGCCCAGUCUCCUGAAUAUAUGAAUAAUGCCUACAACUACCAAAAGGCCAGCAAUCUGUAUUAAUCAAGAUUCUCCAGACAGAUGGAACCAACAGGCUUGGCCUUUAGCUUUCUACUUCCUGGUCUCCAUGGUGUGAGGUCACCAUGAUCAUCAUCUGCCAUCUCUCCCACCAUGUCCUUCCUGCCUUGGAGCCGGAAGACCACGGACAAAAAACA